AAGAUAACCCACAGUACACAUAUCAACAACUUCAACAAACAUUAUCUCAUCGUGCAUUACAAAGCAUAUUUUUUAUAAGAAAACACAGAGCAGAGAGAACAAUACAAGUAAUAAACCAAAGAACAAGUACAUAGAAGUACACAGGGACCAGAGACCAUCUCAUUCUUCAGCGGCACUCGCAGCACUUAGAUCCACAUUGAGGUCCAGAACCUUUCCAGUAAUCAAGGUAUACAUAUUGAGGACAUCAUCAACAGUCGACUCAAAGUGAGUUGUAGCAUCAUAGCUAGUAGAAAUAAAACAAUUAUCUAAAGAGGGCUCAUUGACAGGCUCAAAUCUGUCAUAUGCUUCAAAGAAGAUCUCAUCCACUUGUCCUAGAAGAUCAAUGCCAGGCUUCAGCUCACUCUCCGGAUUAUCAGUUUCUGCCUCUGUUGAGACAAAUGCAAUAAAUUUGCCCUUUGGAGCAACAUUAUGAGUGUAAGAACAGCAGAACAGGUACAUAUCUGAUUUGCGACCCAAC
rnacentral:misc_RNA from 1 species